GGCGCUGUGCCGCAGCGAGCCGCAGCCCAACCCACCGCUCUGACGCACGCCCUUCUGGAGGUCUCUCCGUUUCGCGGUGCUGGUGCCUGUCUCGAUGUGCUUCAUGAGCACAAUACUCACCAUACUAUUGCUGUUCCACGUCUACACAUAGCCGCGUCUCGCUCACUCACUGAUCGCACUUUAAAUUUGAACCAGUGUUUCUCAACCUUUUUUUAUUAAAGAAUCAUGUUUUAUGAUAAAAUAUCGACAAAAAUUUAAAGCAGUCGGUGCCGCCACUGUUUAAUAAGUGGUUAUAAUGUCUCACGAUAGUUUAAAAGUGGGAAGUUUUAAUGUAAUAUUCUUGAAUUCUAUAAAAAAUUAAACGACAUAUUUUUACAAACUCCACUGUCAUUUUCUUUGGUUUAAACAUAAGUUGAUUUUAUAUGUAUUUAUCAUAAUUAAAAAGCUAAACACAAAUGUUUAAAAAAUGCUAUUUUUUCAUGUCGAAGUCCUAAAAUAUUUGUUGUUUGAUAUUUUUAAAAUAAAGGUUGAGAACCACUGCAACACGACUGUUAAACUUUUUACAAGUCUAAGCUUUCAGACUGUUUCUUAAUAGGACUAACUUUGACGCGUGUUUAUGAAUAAUGAUCACAAAUUCCGUGUGGACAUAGAGUGCUUGGUUCAUGAUUUAAACUGCGACAGCUGUCAUUGUGUUCUGACAGCUGUCAAUGUCAAAUUAGCAACAUUAAAAAUGUUAGCAGGAUACGUAAUUAGGCGUGUGUUGCCGCCAUUUUGAAAUCUUCCCUCCUUUAAUUUGUAGUGCAA